rnacentral:misc_RNA from 1 species
GCAAUUUGCUUAUCUAGAGGAGAAUAGUGGUAAAAGUGGCCCAGUAAUACCUCCUGGUCGAAAGCACGUCUCUCUCCCGCGAUCUACUGUAAAUUCCAGUACCAUCCCCCCCAGAACACAGCAGAAUCCUAUGUUUGAUCAUAGACAAGUAACAGAAAAGGCAACUGCUGGCGUCAGAGUCUCAGACCCGAAGGUUUUGCGACCACCACCUCGAGUACCCACAGCCAAACCUGGA